CAGGGAUUGCCUCAGUAACGGCGAGUGAAGCGGCAACAGCUCAAAUUUGAAAUCUGGCCCCGUCGGGGUCCGAGUUGUAAUUUGUAGAGAGUGUUUCGGGUGAGACCACGGUCUAAGUCUAUUGGAACAUGGCGUCAUAGAGGGUGAGAAUCCCGUAUGUGACCGUGGCUCGAGCCCAUGUGAAGCCUCUUCGACGAGUCGAGUUGUUUGGGAAUGCAGCUCAAAAUGGGUGGUAAAUUUCAUCUAAAGCUAAAUACUGGCUGGAGACCGAUAGCGCACAAGUAGAGUGAUCGAAAGAUGAAAAGCACUUUGGAAAGAGAGUCAAAAAGUACGUGAAAUUGUUGAAAGGGAAGCGCUUGCAACCAGACCUGUCCGUAGGUGAUCAGCCGCUGUUCUCAGCGGUGCACUCGCUCUGCGAUCAGGCCAGCAUCGGUUUCGGCGGCUGGAUAAAGGCCUUGGGAAUGUAGCUUCUCUCGGGGAGUCUUAUAGCCCUCGGUGCAAUGCGGCCAGCCGGGACCGAGGACCGCGCUUCGGCUAGGAUGCUGGCGUAAUGGUUGUCAGCGACCCGUCUUGAAACACGGACCAAGGAGUCUAACAUCUAUGCGAGUGUUUGGGUGUUAAACCCAUGCGCGGAAUGAAAGUGAACGGAGGUGAGAACCCUUUAGGGCGCAUCAUCGACCGAUCCAGAUGUCUUCGGAUGGAUUUGAGUAUGAGCAUAGCUGUUGGGACCCGAAAGAUGGUGAACUAUGCCUGAAUAGGGUGAAGCCAGAGGAAACUCUGGUGGAGGCUCGCAGCGGUUCUGACGUGCAAAUCGAUCGUCAAAUUUGGGUAUAGGGG
rnacentral:rRNA from 1 species